GCAUCUUCGGAUGUGUAUAAAGUGGCGAACGGCUGAGUAACACGUGGGCAACCUGCCCUUUGCACUGGGAUAGCCUCGGGAAACCGAGGUUAAUACCGGAUACUCCAUAUUUGUCGCAUGGCGAAUAUGGGAAAGCUCCGGCGGCAAAGGAUGGGCCCGCGGCCUGUUAGCUAGUUGGUGGGGUAGUGGCCUACCAAGGCAAUGAUGGGUAGCCGGGUUGAGAGACCGACCGGCCAGAUUGGGACUGAGACACGGCCCAGACUCCUACGGGAGGCAGCAGUGGGGAAUCUUGCACAAUGGGCGAAAGCCUGAUGCAGCGACGCCGCGUGCGGGAUGAAGGCCUUCGGGUUGUAAACCGCUUUCAGCAGGGACGAGGCCGCAAGGUGACGGUACCUGCAGAAGAAGCCCCGGCUAACUACGUGCCAGCAGCCGCGGUAAUACGUAGGGGGCAAGCGUUAUCCGGAUUCAUUGGGCGUAAAGCGCGCGUAGGCGGUCUGUUAGGUCAGGAGUUAAAUCUGGGGGCUCAACCCCUAUCCGCUCCUGAUACCGGCAGGCUUGAGUCUGGUAGGGGAAGAUGGAAUUCCAAGUGUAGCGGUGAAAUGCGCAGAUAUUUGGAAGAACACCGGUGGCGAAGGCGGUCUUCUGGGCCAUGACUGA
rnacentral:rRNA from 1 species